rnacentral:rRNA from 1 species
AUUGAACGCUGGCGGCAUGCUUUACACAUGCAAGUCGAACGGCAGCGCGGGCUUCGGCCUGGCGGCGAGUGGCGAACGGGUGAGUAAUACAUCGGAACGUGCCCAGUAGUGGGGGAUAGCUCGGCGAAAGCCGGAUUAAUACCGCAUACGACCUGAGGGUGAAAGCGGGGGAUCUUCGGACCUCGCGCUAUUGGAGCGGCCGAUGGCAGAUUAGCUAGUUGGUGGGGUAAAGGCCUACCAAGGCGACGAUCUGUAGCUGGUCUGAGAGGACGACCAGCCACACUGGGACUGAGACACGGCCCAGACUCCUACGGGAGGCAGCAGUGGGGAAUUUUGGACAAUGGGCGAAAGCCUGAUCCAGCAAUGCCGCGUGUGUGAAGAAGGCCUUCGGGUUGUAAAGUACUUUUGGCGGGAACGAAAAGGACUGAGUCAAUACCACGGUUCGAUGACGGUACCCGCAGAAUAAGCACCGGCUAACUACGUG